UGGAUCACCUCCUAACAGGGAGACAAAACUGACCACAGAUGUCUGAGUAAAUUAUUCUCAGGCCUGGAUCCUGUCACCUUAGGUCGAUCGGUACCUCAAGUUGAUUAACUUCAGUUCCUAAACUUGUCUAGGUCAACCCAACAAGGGUACUCCUGGGCCAUUAGCUCAGGUGGUUAGAGCGCACCCCUGAUAAGGGUGAGGUCCCUGGUUCAAGUCCAGGAUGGCCCAUUCGGUGUUGGGGGUUUAGCUCAGUUGGUAGAGCGCCUGCUUUGCAAGCAGGAUGUCAGCGGUUCGAGUCCGCUAACCUCCACUGACGAAUCUUCUGACAACGAGCCAAUGGUGAGAACCGUUGUGUGAUGUGAUUUAGAAUUUAAGUUUGCUGGCAGACCCUAGCUUUUUAUCAUUCCAGGUCUCAAUCAAUUGAGGUUAGGUUGAUAGGACGCUGGGCUCACUGUAAUUCGCAAGAAUUGCAGAGAUGUUCAGCAGAACCUUGACAACUGCAUAGGUAAGUCUGGAAAGAAUAAAGCAUCUCAUGGAUGCAUUAUUCUUGUGAACCAGCUAAUGCAAUCUGCGCGAGUAGAGAGCUGAAGUUGAUGAACGAGAAUGAUGUUUGAUUCUUGAGUCAAGAGCCGAGACUCUAUAGCGUUCUUUCGAUGUCAUCGAGGCAUCGAGAGUUUGAUUGGUCAUUCAAACCAUCUUCAAUGACAAACAAUUCAGUUUAACUGGAGAAGUUUGAGAUUGAAGCCAGGUGAAUUGCUAAGAAUACGUAUUCAACUACGUGAAGCGUUAUAGAGAUUAAUUGGUCAAGCUACAAAGGGCUCAUGGUGGAUACCUUGGCACACAGAGGCGAUGAAGG
rnacentral:tRNA from 1 species